AUACGUAGGUGACAGGCGUUAUCCGGAUUUACUGGGCGUAAAGGGCGUGUAGGCGGUCUUGCAAGUCAGAAGUGAAAUUCCUGAGCUCAACUCGGGCGCUGCUUCUGAAACUGCAGGACUUGAGUGCUGGAGGGGAUAGCGGAAUUCCUAGUGGAGCGGUAAAAUGCGCAGAUAUUAGGAAGAACACCGGUGGCGAAGGCGGCUAUCUGGACAGUAACUGACGCUGAGGCGCGAAAGCGUGGGGAGCAGACAGGAUUAGAUACCCUGGUAGUCCGCACAGUAAACGAUGGACACCCGCGGUUUGGCCUAUAUGGCUGAGCCGCCAAGCGAAAGCGUUAAGUGUCCCACCUGGGGAGUACGCCGGCAACGGUGAAACUCAAAGGAAUUGACGGGG
rnacentral:rRNA from 1 species